rnacentral:lncRNA from 1 species
CAGUGGUCCUCACAUUUCCUCACAUGUUUUGGAAAGAAUUAUAAGAACAUGAUAAACUAGAUUUACAGUCUUCUCUUUAAACUACGAAAAUUGCCUUGUGCCAUUUAUGAUCCAGUUUCUGGACUAAUUGUAUCAGCUCAAAGAGUGUAGAGUCUACGUUUUUAACCUCUGAGACAUGCCUGGAAGUAGAACUAAGUGUGAUUCUUCAUGUAAAGACUACAAGGAAGAGAAAAAAUUGGAUUUCCCAAACUUGAUAGAGGGUUUCUCAACUCUGAGCUGUUUGGAUAUAAUUUGCAUGAAGCUGUCAUGGCCACACAUCACUCUGUCCUUGGGGAAUGUAACAGAUAUGCGUCAUCCAACUACAUCUGAUGAGAAGUUCAGAAAAGGAAGUUGGUGAAGGUAUCAUUGACUUCUAAGUCAAGGUCCAAGCUGUCAGAAAACAAGUGGGAAAAUUGUAUCCACAGACAAAUCCAUGGAGGACUUUUAGGUUCCAGCGGACAUGGCCUGGUUCCCACUCAGAAGUCUUGGGUCUGGGUCUCAAUUAACUAGGCAGUAUUUGAAAGUCACUGUAUUUUUUUGAUUUUCAGUUUCCUCAUCUGUAGAAUGGAUUAACAUCUGCUCUCUCUAUCUCCUAAAGUUAAUCUGAGAUGCGAAUGAAAUCACAUAUAUGAGAAUACUCACAUAAAUGUUAUUUUAAUUUGCUUUAUGUGUGUGUGUUUUGCCUUCUAAACAAUGUUUCUUCCAGGUAAGGAUAUGUAUGCUUGGGAUGUGUACCUACCAAAAUGCCUGGCACAAGGUGUUUGUGAAAUAUUUGUUGAAUGUUUGUUAAAUGGAUGUUGAAUCUGAAUGAAACUGAAACAAUUUUGAAAAACUAUAGUUUGGAAGAGGUAACAAUAAAAUAUAUCAAAAUGUGAAUUUCUCUUUCA